rnacentral:rRNA from 1 species
GAUGAACGCUGGCGGCGUGCCUAAUACAUGCAAGUCGAGCGAACAGACGAGGAGCUUGCUCCUCUGACGUUAGCGGCGGACGGGUGAGUAACACGUGGAUAACCUACCUAUAAGACUGGGAUAACUUCGGGAAACCGGAGCUAAUACCGGAUAAUAUAUUGAACCGCAUGGUUCAAUAGUGAAAGACGGUUUUGCUGUCACUUAUAGAUGGAUCCGCGCCGCAUUAGCUAGUUGGUAAGGUAACGGCUUACCAAGGCGACGAUGCGUAGCCGACCUGAGAGGGUGAUCGGCCCCACUGGAACUGAGACACGGUCCAGACUCCUACGGGAGGCAGCAGUAGGGAAUCUUCCGCAAUGGGCGGAAGCCUGGCGGAGCAACGCCGCGUGAGUGAUGAAGGUCUUCGGAUCGUAAAACUCUGUUAUUAGGGAAGAACAAAUGUGUAAGUAACUAUGCACGUCUUGACGGUACCUAAUCAGAAAGCCACGGCUAACUACGUG